rnacentral:rRNA from 1 species
AUUGAACGCUGGCGGCAGGCCUAACACAUGCAAGUCGAACGAGUGGCGGACGGGUGAGUAAUGUCUGGGAAACUGCCCGAUAGAGGGGGAUAACUACUGGAAACGGUAGCUAAUACCGCAUACCAUCGGAUGUGCCCAAAUGGGAGUAUCUAGUAGGUGGGGUAACGGCUCACCUAGUCGACGAUCCCUAGCUGGUCUGAGAGGAUGACAAGCCACACUGGAACGUGGACACGGUCCAGACUCCGACGGGAGGCAGCAGUGGGGAAUAUUGCACAAUGGGCGCAAGCCUGAUGCAGCCAUGCCGCGUGUAUGAAGAAGGCCGUCGGGUUGUAAAGUACUUUCAGCGGGGAGGCGUUACCCGCAGAAGAAGCACCGGCUAACUCCGUGCCAGCAGCCGCGGUAAUUC